AACCUCACUAACUGCAACUUGUUGCUAAAAGAUGCUGUUCAAAUUACUGAAACUUGUAAAUCAGCGUGUAAAGAAGCAAACCGAGCAAGUGGUUUUCAAACAGUUGUCGGGAUCCUAAUUCUUCUGAUCUAAAGAGAUAUAUUUUAUGUUUCCUUUUUGCUGAUGAAUGCAAAGCAAAUAUUAACUGAUUAUGCUUCAACGUAACCAUCAUUUUAUAGGGGAGCGCUGAAGAGCAGACAGAAAGGAGUUGUUUGUUUUUACCAGGGCAACCAAGAGCUUUUCCGUGUCUAUGUUUAAUGAAUGAAUCAACCUACUUUAGCACACAAUUGCUUAGAUCAAUAAUUAUUCAGGAAACAACACUGCCUUGGGAAAAUCUAUAGUAAUAAAAAAGAAAUCUGGAUGGGCUGAAUAACCUUUUCAAGCAGAUAUUUAUCUCUAAAUGAAGUUAUUUUUUGUAAAGUUUCUAUUGUUUAGAAAAUGCAUUAUUGGAUGGUUAAAAAAUAAUCAGAUUGUUAGUGCUGAGAGUCUGGAGUUCAGGGUGGGAGGGAAACAAAGCAUUAAUAGGUGGUAUUCCCAGAUGUAUGGCUGGGGAGAUUGUUAGGUUUUAAGGAUAAAGUCAAAGUGGCACUAUGAGCUGAAUCUAUGCAUCUGUACUCUAGUGACAACUGUUACCAUUACCAAUACGAACAGAUAGCAGGUUCUAAUUAAAGUUACAAGCCAGAGGGAAUAGGCAUUAAGAAAGAAAAAGAAUAAUUCGCUGAAUAAAUUGCACUUGAUUUACUAGUUCACAAAAAAGGUCUAAAAAUUAGUAUCUGAAAUUACUUUAAAUACAGCAUCUAUCAAACCACAGAACAAUAAUCAAGUCAACCUAAUUAGAACACUUAUAACUAUAAGCAGCAUGUAGCAUGUUCUUAUCUUGACGUGAGGAGACCAAGUAGUCCCCUAAGUGCCAGUUAAUCUACAACAAACUUUUGCUGAGACCUGGAAGAAACCCCUUGCAGCAGCUACCUGCUUACUUUAGAUGUCACACGAUCCAGCCUGUAGAUCCUUGUGCUCUCUGCAUCUGCAUUAAGAGGAACUUCUGAGUGCACAUCCUGAGCUGGAUCAUGAGAGGUCCUCAGCAAAUUGCACAGCGCUUUGUAGUAGUUUUGUUAAUAGAUGUGUGUUAUGUAUCAGUGUCACUUCUACUAACGCUUGCUUACUUUCUCUUCAGGAUUCAUUCUCUAAAUAGGAGACAAACAUUGUCUUUGGAGGUAUACAGCUUUUAGGAGCGGACGUGGACCAGAUUCCUUAAAUGAUGCUGAGGAGUAUGAUACAGUCUGUAUUACCAGCGCCUCUGAACACUUAACACUGCCUUGGGCCGUGGCAGUGUUGAUUUUUAUCCCCAACUCAAUGCAAUGCUGGAUGCCGACGUGUGGCGUAGUUGUGGAGCGGAGACCCAGCAUCCCAGCAGCAUCCAUACAUCUGGGCUCCUUAUGGCACUGGGCAGUCCUACAGCAAGACCCUUGCUCACCGAAACGGAAUUAAUAUAACUGGACUGAAGUUACAAGGAAGAAUUGAACUGAGCCAGUAGGGUUAACACUGCUGCUAACAGGAGGUUACUAACCAUGAGAGAAUUACAGCUCUUCUGAAAGACAGUGCCUAAAAUAGCAGC